UCAAGAAUAUCAAGCAAGGAAUCAUCAUCCGCAGUUAUUCAGUUUAUCGAUGGCGAAGAAAGCCGCAAGCAGCUUGACCAAGAUACUUACUUAGAAGAAUCAGAAAGCAUCCCCACAAGGAAAACAGAGACCGAAACCGAGAAGCCCGGUCUUCACAUAGAAAGAUUUUUAGGGAUUCUCUAGAAACGAGACAAGCAUGAGAGAGAAGGUACGGACUUUGCUAUAAAACAAUUUGAUGGAACACAGAAAGCCACAGAUUGGAUAUUAGAGUAUGAAACGGAAUGUGAAAAAUACGAAAUCCAAAUUGAUGAGAAAAAAAUCAAGAAUUUGAAGAAAUAUUUGGAAAAAAACAGCAUCAGAAUGGAACCAGACAAAUCUGCUGAAGGAUGAAAAAUACAACUGGGAAAAUUGGAAGGCGGCAUUUCUAAAAGCUUUUAGCAAUAAAGAUUGGUCUGCAGUACGAUACGCUUAUAAUUUUAGAUACAUUUCAGGUUCGUUCAU